rnacentral:rRNA from 1 species
UGCCAGCCGCCGCGGUAAGACGUAGGGGGCGAGCGUUGUCCGGAUUUAUUGGGCGUAAAGGGCUCGUAGGCGGUUACGUAAGUCGGAUGUGAAAACUCGAGGCUCAACUUCGAGACGCCAUCCGAUACUGCGUUGACUUGAGUCCGGUAGAGGAGUGUGGAAUUCCUAGUGUAGCGGUGAAAUGCGCAGAUAUUAGGAGGAACACCUAUUGCGAAGGCGGCUUCCUGGACCAACACUGACGCUGAGGUGCGAGAGCGUGGGUAGCAAACAGGGUUAGAUA